rnacentral:tRNA from 1 species
GCGUUGAUGGUGUAAUGGUUAGCAUAGCUGCCUUCCAAGCAGUCGAUCUGGGUUCGAUUCCGAGUCAACGCA